UGGGGAAUAUUGCACAAUGGGCGCAAGCCUGAUGCAGCCAUGCCGCGGGUGUGAAGAAGGCCUUCGGGUUGUAAAGCACUUUCAGCGGGGAGGAAGGCGUUAAGGUUAAUAACCUUGGCGAUUGACGUUACCCGCAGAAGAAGCACCGGCUAACUCCGUGCCAGCAGCCGCGGUAAUACGGAGGGUGCAAGCGUUAAUCGGAAUUACUGGGCGUAAAGCGCACGCAGGCGGUCUGUCAAGUCGGAUGUGAAAUCCCCGGGCUCAACCUGGGAACUGCAUUCGAAACUGGCAGGCUAGAGUCUUGUAGAGGGGGGUAGAGUUCGAGGUGUAGCGGUGAAAAGCGUAGAGAUCUUGAGGAAUACCGGUGGCGAAGGCGGCCCCCUGGACAAAGACUGACGCUCAGGUGCGAAGGCGUGGGGAGCAAACAGG
rnacentral:rRNA from 1 species